AGUGAACGCUGGCGGUAGGCCUAACACAUGCAAGUCGAACGGCAGCACAGUAAGAGCUUGCUCUUACGGGUGGCGAGUGGCGGACGAGUGAGGAAUACAUCGGAAUCUACUUUUUCGUGGGGGAUAACGUAGGGAAACUUACGCUAAUACCGCAUACGACCUACGGGUGAAAGCAGGGGAUCUUCGGACCUUGCGCGAUUGAAUGAGCCGAUGUCGGAUUAGCUAGUUGGCGGGGUAAAGGCCCACCAAGGCGACGAUCCGUAGCUGGUCUGAGAGGAUGAUCAGACACACUGGAACUGAGACACGGUCCAGACUCCUACGGGAGGCAGCAGUGGGGAAUAUUGGACAAUGGGCGCAAGCCUGAUCCAGCCAUACCGCGUGGGUGAAGAAGGCCUUCGGGUUGUAAAGCCCUGUUGUUGGGAAAGAAAAGCAGCAGGUUAAUACCCCGCUGUUCUGACGGUACCCAAAGAAUAAGCACCGGCUAACUUCGUG
rnacentral:rRNA from 1 species